UGGAAACGUAUGCUAAUACCGAAUAUGCUCUACGGAGUAAAGGAGCCCUCUUCUUGAAAGGUUUCGCUAUAGGAUGAGCCCGCGUGAGAUUAGCUAGUUGGUAAGGUAAUGGCUUACCAAGGCAACGAUCUCUAGCUGGUUUGAGAGGAUGAUCAGCCACACUGGGACUGAGACACGGCCCAGACUCCUACGGGAGGCAGCAGUGGGGAAUAUUGCACAAUGAGCGAAAGCUUGAUGCAGCCAUACCGCGUGUGUGAAGAAGGCCCGAGGGUUGUAAAGCACUUUCAAUUGUGAGGAAGAUAGUGUCGCUAAUAUCGGCAUUGUUUGACGUUAACUUUAGAAGAAGCACCGGCUAACUCUGUGCCAGCAGCCGCGGUAAUACAGAGGGUGCAAGCGUUAUUCGGAAUUACUGGGCGUAAAGCGCGCGUAGGCGGGCUAUUAAGUCAGUUGUGAAAGCCCUGGGCUCAACCUGGGAACUGCAUCUGAUACUGGUAGUCUAGAGUUUAAGAGAGGGAAGUGGAAUUCCAGGUGUAGCAGUGAAAUGCGUAGAUAUCUGGAGGAACAUCAGUGGCGAAGGCGACUUCCUGGCUUAAAACUGACGCUGAGGUGCGAAAGCGUGGGUAGCGAACGGGAUUAGAUA
rnacentral:rRNA from 1 species